rnacentral:rRNA from 1 species
CGUAGGGUGCAAGCGUUAAUCGGAAUUACUGGGCGUAAAGCGUGCGCAGGCGGUUUUGUAAGACAGACGUGAAAUCCCCGGGCUCAACCUGGGAAUGGCGUUUGUGACUGCAAAGCUGGAGUGCGGCAGAGGGGGAUGGAAUUCCGCGUGUAGCAGUGAAAUGCGUAGAUAUGCGGAGGAACACCGAUGGCGAAGGCAAUCCCCUGGGCCUGCACUGACGCUCAUGCACGAAAGCGUGGGGAGCAAACAGGAUUAGAUACCCUGGUAGUCCACGCCCUAAACGAUGUCAACUGGUUGUUGGGUCUCUUCUGACUCAGUAACGAAGCUAACGCGUGAAGUUGACCGCCUGGGGAGUACGGCCGCAAGGUUG